rnacentral:rRNA from 1 species
AGCGAACGCUGGCGGCAGGCCUAACACAUGCAAGUCGAACGGAUCCUUCGGGAUUAGUGGCGGACGGGUGAGUAACACGUGGGAACGUGCCCUUUGGUUCGGAACAACUCAGGGAAACUUGAGCUAAUACCGGAUGUGCCCUUCGGGGGAAAGAUUUAUCGCCAUUGGAGCGGCCCGCGUCUGAUUAGCUAGUUGGUGAGGUAAAGGCUCACCAAGGCGACGAUCAGUAGCUGGUCUGAGAGGAUGAUCAGCCACAUUGGGACUGAGACACGGCCCAAACUCCUACGGGAGGCAGCAGUGGGGAAUCUUGCGCAAUGGGCGAAAGCCUGACGCAGCCAUGCCGCGUGAAUGAUGAAGGUCUUAGGAUUGUAAAAUUCUUUCACCAGGGACGAUAAUGACGGUACCUGGAGAAAAAGCCCCGGCUAACUUCGUGCCAGCAGCCGCGGUAACAC